GUGACGCACACACAAGCAUGCUGUUUGUUGUUGGGUAUCAGGGAAGAGUUCUUUAGUAUCUUUCUGUUUAACUUAGUACUAAGUUUAGUGCUAGUAGUAGAAAUAUGUGAUAGUACAUUUAGUCCAUACAUAGCUUCAUACAUCUCGAUCAGAAUCUGAGCAGGGCUCGCUAAAGUAACCGACUCUGAGCAAGCUUUAUUGUAUAUCUUCUCUUCAUCUUGUAGGCAUCAGCGUGCUACAGUCAAAUUCAAACUUGCGAAACUAAAAAGCAAAAAGAAAGGGAACUGUUUCCUCAUGCAUACCGCCGCAAACAGCGUGCGUCACUGUUACUGAAUAUUAGCAACAAUGCUUCUUUCCCAUUGUUGCUUAAUACUGUUUUCACAACGCGGACGACACCGUGUCAAAGGAAGUUAUGGAAAAGAGACUGAAAGCAGUGCACUGGUACCCCUUGCAGCAAUUGGAUGUUAUAAAUGUGAUUUCCACAUCACACACAUACCAUGACCUGAAGUUUUGGAUGGAAUGGUGAGCAUAUUUAUGCAGUGAGCCAUCUUAAGUGCCGACUGGCAUACUCUAGUGUUCAAAGGC